rnacentral:rRNA from 1 species
UGGGCGAAAGCCUGAUGCAGCAACGCCGCGUGAGCGAUGAAGGUCUUCGGAUCGUAAAGCUCUGUCCUCAAGGAAGAAUAUUGACGGUACUUGAGGAGGAAGCCCCGGCUAACUACGUGCCAGCAGCCGCGGUAAUACGUAGGGGGCUAGCGUUAUCCGGAAUUACUGGGCGUAAAGGGUGCGUAGGCGGUCUUGCAAGUCAGAGGUGAAAGGCUACGGCUCAACCGUAGUAAGCCUUUGAAACUGUAGGACUUGAGUGCAGGAGAGGAAAGUGGAAUUCCCAGUGUAGCGGUGAAAUGCGUAGAUAUUGGGAGGAACACCAGUUGCGAAGGCGGCUUUCUGGACUGUAACUGACGCUGAGGCACGAAAGCGUGGGGAGCGAACAGGAUUAGAUACCCUGGUAGUCCACGCCGUAAACGAUGAGUACUAGGUGUCGGGGGUUACCCCCCUCGGUGCCGCAGCUAACGCAUUAAGUACUCCGCCUGGGAAGU